GACGAACGCUGGCGGCGUGCCUAAUACAUGCAAGUCGAGCGAAUCAAUGGGAGCUUGCUCCCGUUAGUUAGCGGCGGACGGGUGAGUAACACGUGGGCAACCUGCCUGUAAGAUCGGGAUAACACCGGGAAACCGGUGCUAAUACCGGAUAAUUCUUUUCCUCUCAUGAGGGAAAGCUGAAAGACGGUUUCGGCUGUCACUUACAGAUGGGCCCGCGGCGCAUUAGCUAGUUGGUGAGGUAACGGCUCACCAAGGCGACGAUGCGUAGCCGACCUGAGAGGGUGAUCGGCCACACUGGGACUGAGACACGGCCCAGACUCCUACGGGAGGCAGCAGUAGGGAAUCUUCCGCAAUGGACGAAAGUCUGACGGAGCAACGCCGCGUGAGUGAUGAAGGCCUUCGGGUCGUAAAACUCUGUUGUUAGGGAAGAACAAGUAUCGGAGUCACUGCCGGUACCUUGACGGUACCUAACCAGAAAGCCACGGCUAACUACGUGCCAGCAGCCGCGGUAAUACGUAGGUGGCAAGCGUUGUCCGGAAUUAUUGGGCGUAAAGCGCGCGCAGGCGGUCCUUUAAGUCUGAUGUGAAAGCCCACGGCUCAACCGUGGAGGGUCAUUGGAAACUGGGGGACUUGAGUGCAGAAGAGGAAAGCGGAAUUCCACGUGUAGCGGUGAAAUGCGUAGAGAUGUGGAGGAACACCAGUGGCGAAGGCGGCUUUCUGGUCUGUAACUGACGCUG
rnacentral:rRNA from 2 species